CCCCCAGCAUGAGGCCACUGUCCCUACAGUAAUCAUAGGAUCAUCUGCCCCACAUGCAAUAAAACAGGGGUCAGCAAACUUUUUCAGCAGGGGGCCAGUCCACUGUCCCUCAGGCCCUGUGGGGGGCCGGACUAUAUAUUUUUUGGGGGGGGGGGAUGAACAAAUUCCUAUGCCCCACGGAGAUGCAUUUUAAAUAAAAGGACACAUCCUACUCAUGUAAAAACACACUGAUUCCCGGACCAUCCGUGGGCCGGACUGAGAAGGCAAUUGGGCCAGAUCCUGCCCCCAGGCCUUAGUUUGCCUACCCAUGCAAUAAAACAUAUCUCUCUUGUAUCACUAUCUACAGCCACAGCAGCCAGCAGCUGUAACUCUCCAAGGGUGUGACUUCUCCUGAGCCAGAUGGAUGCCAGAACUGUAGAGCUGGAAGGGACCCCAUGGGUCAUCUAGUCCAACCCCUUGCAAUGCAGGAAUCCUUUUGCCCAAGGUGGGCCUCGAACCCAGGACCCAGAGAUUAAGAGUCUCAUGCUCAAGCAACCCAACCACAAAAGAUAACCAAUUAUAUUACUAUUGUUUCCAGCCAUCAAACUCAUGGGCUGCAGCUCACCUUGGGCCAGCCAUUCUCUCUCUCCACCAGCCUCGCUGGGGUUUUCCUCCUCGGAGCAAGAGGGGCGUCAGUGGGACCAGUGAGGGAGGAUGCGCUGCUCUGAGGAUGCUCCGAGAAGAGCCGGCAGGGACAGGCCAGCGGCGAGGCGGACCCAAGCGCACCAGCCACGCUUCCCGGCCGACAGCCCCCCGAAGGGAGAACCCGACGCACCCAGCGCCGCCACCCCCGCCUGGCUGUUCCCGCUCAGAUCAUUCCAUGACAGCCAGCCACAGAAGGCACAUCUAUUACCAGAAGCAAUGGUGAAUCCAUCUGGAGGGGAGAAUUCAGCCAAUGUUGUUCUGAUCUCUGGACAAGGACAGAAAUAUAUUUGGUCGCCUGAGCAAGGUUCAGUUUGUGCACAGAUAUGUGUGAAUAUUAUACAUGCUGGGGCUGCCCACAACCUGUAUGCACGCAAAGACAUAUACCUGAAUGUACCUAUGCCCUGACGGUGCCCUCAGCGCCCUGUUUUUUCAGGGUACAGACUGUGCAUUGAGAGAGCAAAGCACAUGUUUGCCCUGUGGAUGGGAGCUCAGAUACGUUGAGGGGGGUUUGGGCCUGACCGAACCCUUCAAGCAUAGAUUUCAGUAUGUUUUGACCAUCCACCCAGUGCUUUUUUGUGCACUGAAAAUAAACACAUGGAAUUGGAAACCUCUGUUUAUUCCAAAUAUUAAACUGUUUUCCUUUGCAGCUGAAAAAAAUGC
rnacentral:lncRNA from 1 species